GGAGAGAUGGAUGAGUGGUUUAAAUCAACGGUUUACUAAACCGUCGUUCCUUAAUUGGGACCGCGAGUUCGAAUCUCGCUCUCUCCG
rnacentral:tRNA from 1 species